rnacentral:rRNA from 1 species
GUAGGGAAUAUUGGGCAAUGGUCGGAAGACUGACCCAGCCAUGCCGCGUGCAGGAAGACGGCCCUCUGGGUUGUAAACUGCUUUUAUCUGGGAAGAAAAAGGCCAUGCGUGGCAAAUUGCCGGUACCAGAUGAAUAAGCACCGGCUAACUCCGUGCCAGCAGCCGCGGUAAUACGGAGGGUUCGAGCGUCGUCCGGAUUUAUUGGGUUUCAAGGGUGCGUAGGCGGCUGAUUAAGUCAGCGGUGAAAGACUUCGGCUUAACCGGAGCAGUGCCGUUGAUACUGGUUGGCUUGAGUGUCGGAGGGGUACAUGGAAUUGAUGGUGUAGCGGUGAAAUGCAUAGAUACCAUCAGGAACACCGAUAGCGAAGGCAUUGUACUGGCCGACAACUGACGCUGAUGCACGAAAGUGUGGGGAUCGAACAGGAUUAGAUACCCCGGUAGUCC